rnacentral:rRNA from 1 species
UACGAAGGGUGCAAGCGUUAAUCGGAAUUACUGGGCGUAAAGGGUGCGUAGGCGGUUGGUUAAGUCUGUCGUGAAAUCCCCGGGCUCAACCUGGGAAUGGCGAUGGAUACUGGGCAGCUAGAGUGUGUCAGAGGAUGGUGGAAUUCCCGGUGUAGCGGUGAAAUGCGUAGAGAUCGGGAGGAACAUCAGUGGCGAAGGCGGCCAUCUGGGACAACACUGACGCUGAAGCACGAAAGCGUGGGGAUCAAACAGG